UAGAAUGGUUGCACAAUGUUCUGAAUCUACUUAAUGCCACUGACUUGUACACUAUAAAAUAGUUACAAUUGUAAACUGUAUGUUACCUGUUUUUACCACGAUAAAAACAAAAUGAACUCGUUAUUAGACAAGACUGGAGUUUUCAGAAAUCAAAACAUCAUUAGGACAUAGGUGUAGAAGUAGGAUGGUUAAGAGCCCAAGCUCUUAAUGCAGACCACUUGGGUUCAAAUCCAAAUCUGUUUUCUAGCUCUGGACCUUCGGCAAGUCAUUUAAUCAUUUUGGUUGCAUUACUCCAAUUGUAAAAUUGGAAUAAUAAAGAAUACCUACCACCUAUGGUCUUUGAAAAGAUCAAACAUCUAGUGGGUGCCUGAUAAUCUAAUAGAAAGCCCUUUAAAUAAAAGUUAACUAGGGAAUGUUAUUUUUAUUCUAGUUUAGAAUUUGACCAGUAAUCGCAUCGAAGAUUCUGGCAAGAGAGAAGAGGACAUUUUGGUACGGUGGGCAAUGCAGUGUUAGAAGACGCGGGAUCAAACUCCUAUGCUGUCACCCAGUCCGCGCUGCCCUCUCUCCGGUGCAGAGAGGCUUCCUGAGCUCAGUGAGAGGGGAGCCAGGGAGCGGCCAAGCCACCCCUGCAACCGCCAGUCAUCAUUACAAAUUAAAGUCUCGUUGCCAAAGCCAACUCCAGUCAUUGCCAAAGUUCAAACACUUGCCGUUCAAAGGAGCAGAAGGCUGCCAGCACUACCAAAAAAAAACCCCAAAUAACACGGCCAGUGCUUGAAUACAGAUACCAGAUGAAAAAAGGCUCGAAAAACCUUCUGGCCCCAAAGCUGGGAGGUGAGUACUUCGAAUUGAAAAACAACUCCGAACACAUACAGCUACAAUCUCUCCCUAAUCCACAUCCCUCACCCAACAUAAUUUAGAGAACCAAUCUCCAGAAACAAGUCCAGAUGAAAACAAAAAAAUAAACUUCCAAUUAGGUUAAUGUGUGUAACUGGAAAGGGCUAGUUAAUAGGCAUAGAGGACAGGGACCCUAUGAUCUGAAGUUACUGCAGAGAAUGGGGAUCAAAAAUUGUAGUGUUUUUUUCCUGAGAUGAGGGGAUUAUGGACCACUUUUAUUUUCUUCUACUUUGCUGGUUUGUAUUUCCCAGCAAUGAGUGUCUAGUAAAUCCAUAAUAAAGUUAUUUUGUUUGUUUGCUCUA